GACGAACGCUGGCGGCGUGCUUAACACAUGCAAGUCGAGCGGUAAGGCCUCUUCGGGUGUACACGAGCGGCGCACGGGGGCGUAACACGUGGGUGACCUUCCCUCAGCUCUGGGAUAAGCCUGAGAAACUGGGUCUACUACCGGAUAUGACCUUUCCUCGCAUGGGGUUUGGUGGAAAGUUUUUUCGGCUUGGGGUGGGCCCGCGGCCUAUCAGCUUGUUGGUGGGGUGAUGGCCUACCAAGGCGACGACGGGUAGCCGGCGUGCGAGGGCGAGCGGCCAAAUCGUGAGGGAGGCAGCGGUCGGGAACCUUGGGGAGGGAGCGGUGGGGUAUACUGGGCAAUGGGCGGGAGUGAAAAGGGGCGUCGCCGCGUGGAGCACUACGGCCGUGGGGGAGUAGAACUCUGUCGACCCCGAGGAAUUUUGACGGUAGGGGUAGAAGAAGCACCGGCCAACUACGUG
rnacentral:rRNA from 1 species